UACAGAGGGUGCAAACGUUGCUCGGAAUCAUUGGGCGUAAAGCGCACGUAGGCGGCCCGGUAAGUCGGAUGUGAAAGCCCUCGGCUCAACCGAGGAAGUGCAUUCGAAACUGCCAGGCUUGAAUAUGGAAGAGGGUCGCGGAAUUCCCGGUGUAGAGGUGAAAUUCGUAGAUAUCGGGAGGAACACCAGUGGCGAAGGCGGCGAUCUGGGAAGAUACUGACGCUGAGGUGCGAAAGCGUGGGGAGCAAACAGG
rnacentral:rRNA from 1 species